rnacentral:misc_RNA from 1 species
AACUUUUGGCAAUGGAUCUCUUGGUUCUGGCAUCGAUGAAGAACGCAGCGAAAUGCGAUAAGUAGUGUGAAUUGCAGAAUUCAGUGAGUCAUCGAAUCUUUGAACGCACAUUGCGCCCUGUGGUAUUCCGCAGGGCAUGCCUGUUCGAGCGUCAUUUCAACCCUCAAGCUCUGCUUGGUGUUGGGCCAUGCCCAUUGCGGCCGGCCUCAAAAUCAGUGGCGGCGCCAUCUGGCUCUAAGCGUAGUACAUCUCUCGCUCUAGGGUCCGGUGGUGGCUUGCCAUAACCCCAACUUCUAUGGUUGACCUCGGAUCAGGUAGGGAUACCCGCUGAACUUAAGCAUAUCAAUAAGCGGAGGCU